rnacentral:rRNA from 1 species
UACGGAGGGUGCAAGCGUUAUCCGGAUUCACUGGGUUUAAAGGGUGCGUAGGCGGAUAGGUAAGUCCGUGGUGAAAUCCUGCAGCUUAACUGCAGAACUGCCGUGGAUACUAUCUAUCUUGAAUGUCGUGGAGGUUAGCAGAAUAUGUCAUGUAGCGGUGAAAUGCUUAGAUAUGACAUAGAACACCAAUUGCGAAGGCAGCUGGCUACACAAAUAUUGACACUGAGGCUCGAAAGCGUGGGGAUCAAACAGG